rnacentral:rRNA from 1 species
ACGGGAGGCAGCAGUGGGGAAUAUUGGGCAAUGGGGGAAACCCUGACCCAGCAACGCCGCGUGGAGGAAGAAGGUCUUCGGAUCGUAAACUCCUGUCCUAAGAGACGAGAAGAAGACGGUAUCUUAGGAGGAAGCACCGGCAAACUUCGUGCCAGCAGCCGCGGUAAUACGAGGGGUGCAAGCGUUGUUCGGAAUCACUGGGCGUAAAGGGAGCGUAGGCGGAGACGCAAGCAGUCUGUACAAUACCGGGGCCCAACCCCGGACCUGCAGACUGGACUGUGUCUCUUGGAUAGUUCAGGGGCAGGCGGAAUUCCUGGUGUAGCGGUGGAAUGCGUAGAGAUCAGGAAGAACACCGAUGGCGAAGGCAGCCUGCUGGGGACUCAUCGACGCUGAGGCUCGAAAGUGCGGGUAGCAAACAGGAUUAGAUACCCUGGUA